AACGCGAAGAACCUUACCUACUUGACACAGAGAACUUCAGAGAUGGAUUGGUGCCUGGGAACUGAGACAGGUGCUGCAUGGCUGGAGCGUGUUGUGAAAUGUUGGGUUAAGCCGCAACGAGCGCAACCCUUACUUUGUUGCCAGCGGUUAGGCCGGGAACAAAGGAGACUGCCAGUGAUAAACUGGAGGAAGGUGGGGAUGACGAAGAAUGGCCCUUACGGCCAGGGCUACACACGUACUACAAUGGUAGGGACAGAGGGCUGCAAGCCGGCAACGGUAAGCCAACCAGAAACCCUAAGCGGAUUGGAGUGCAACGACCAUGAAGGGAAGCUAGUAAGCAGAAGCAUUGCUGCGGUGAAUACGUCCGGGUGUACACACCG
rnacentral:rRNA from 1 species